rnacentral:rRNA from 1 species
GAUCCUGGCUCAGGAUGAACGCUAGCUACAGGCUUAACACAUGCAAGUCGAGGGGCAGCAUGUUGGUUGCUUGCAACCAACGAUGGCGACCGGCGCACGGGUGAGUAACGCGUAUCCAACUACCCUUGUCCAUCGGAUAACCCGUCGAAAGGCGGCCUAACACGAUAUGCGGUUCUCAGCAGGCAUCUAACGNGACGAAUAUAAAGGAGAAGGAUGGGGAUGCGUCUGAUUAG